UACGGAGGUGGCAAGCGUUGUUCGGAAUUACUGGGCGUAAAGCGCACGUAAGCGGCUUGGUAUGUCGGGUGUGAAAUCCCCGGGCUCAACCUGGGAACUGCAUCCGAAACUGCCUUGCUCGAGUAUGGGAGAGGGAAGUGGAAUUUCCGGUGUAGCGGUGAAAUGCGUAGAUAUCGGAAGGAACAUCAGUGGCGAAGGCGACUUCCUGGACCAAUACUGACGCUCAGGUGCGAAAGCGUGGGGAGCAAACAGG
rnacentral:rRNA from 1 species